GACGAAUGCUGGCGGCGUGCUUAACACAUGCAAGUCGAGCGGUAAGGCCCUUUCGGGGGUACACGAGCGGCGAACGGGUGAGUAACACGUGGGUGACCUGCCCUCAGCUCUGGGAUAAGCCCGGGAAACUGGGUCUAAUACUGGAUAUUACUCUGCGGUGCAUGCCGUGGGGUGGAAAGCCUUGUGCGGCUGGGGAUGGGCCCGCGGCCUAUCAGCUUGUUGGUGGGGUGAUGGCCUACCAAGGCGACGACGGGUAGCCGGCCUGAGAGGGCGACCGGCCACACUGGGACUGAGACACGGCCCAGACUCCUACGGGAGUCAGCAGUGGGGAAUCUUGCGCAAUGGGCGAAAGCCUGACGCAGCGACG
rnacentral:rRNA from 1 species